CCUACGGGGGGCUGCAGUUUCGAAUCAUUCACAAUGGGCGAAAGCCUGAUGGUGCGACGCCGCGUGAGGGAUGAAGGCCUUCGGGUUGUAAACCUCUGUCACUGGGGAAGAAACGCUUCAAGUUAUUAGCUUGAAGCCUGACUUAACCCAGAGAGGAAGCAGUGGCUAACUCUGUGCCAGCAGCCGCGGUAAUACAGAGACUGCAAGCGUUAUUCGGAUUCACUGGGCGUAAAGGGUGCUAAGUGUGCCGGCCCGGGGCUUAACCUCGGAAUUGCGCCUAAAACGACACGGCUAGAGCAUGGGAGAGGGUAGCGGAAUUCACGGUGUAGCAGUGAAAUGCGUAGAUAUCGUGAGGAACACCAGAGGCGAAGGCGGCUACCUGGACAAUUGCUGACGCUCAGGCACGAAAGCGUGGGGAGCAAAAGGGAUUAGAUACCCGUGUAGUC
rnacentral:rRNA from 1 species